rnacentral:piRNA from 1 species
UUGGAUCUACACUCAUUGGUCCAGUGGCGA